GCCGGGAGUGGUGGCGCACGCCUGUAACCCCAGCUACUCGGGAGGUUGAGACAGGAGAAUUGCUUGAGCCUGGGAGGCGGAGGUUGCAGUGAGCUGAGAUCAUGCCACUGCACUCCAGCCUGGGCGACAGAGUGAGAUCUUGUCUCUA
rnacentral:SRP_RNA from 2 species